rnacentral:rRNA from 1 species
GUUAGGGUGCAAGCGUUAAUCGGAAUUACUGGGCGUAAAGCGUGCGCAGGCGGUUUUGUAAGUCUGUCGUGAAAUCCCCGGGCUCAACCUGGGAAUGGCGAUGGAGACUGCAAGGCUAGAGUUUGGCAGAGGGGGGUAGAAUUCCACGUGUAGCAGUGAAAUGCGUAGAUAUGUGGAGGAACACCGAUGGCGAAGGCAGCCCCCUGGGUCAAAACUGACGCUCAUGCACGAAAGCGUGGGGAGCAAACAGGAUUAGAUACCCUGGUAGUCCACGCCCUAAACGAUGUCUACUAGUUGUCGGGUCUUAAUUGACUUGGUAACGCAGCUAACGCGUGAAGUAGACCGCCUGGGGAGUACGGUCGCAAGAUUA